AAAUAUGAAUAGGGGAGCUACGAGGUUGGCUGAGAGGAUAUCCCGUUGAAGAUAUCGACCCUUUAAACCUGAUCUGGAUAAUGCCAGCGGAGGGAUGUUUAUUAGAAUUGCAU
rnacentral:ncRNA from 2 species